AAAGAGACAGACGCUUGCUCCCGGAGCCCAGGUCUUUCCCACACGGCGCAGAGCCUCCGGGAUCCCCGCCCCCGCCCCGCCCACCCGGGCCGCGAGGCUCCGCCCAGACCACGCCCCCACGUCGGAGCGGGUUUAAAUCCAACUGGUAACAGUUGGUGGACCUACUCCCAUUCCACUUUAGAGUGCCGAUGGGGUUUUGGAGUGAUGGGGGUCCGGACCUGAUGGCCAAGAAAGAAUUCUUGAGACGUCUUUGGUGCAAAAAAGAUGAAAACCAGCGUGUCUACUGGUGAGGCUAACGUUCCUGUGAGCUGGGGCCAGGAAAAGGCAGCAGACAAAGGGAACAGUCAGCCAAGUAGAGUUUGCUGGAGAUUUACGUGGAAACCUCCUCACAGAGGCAGUGCUGCUGGAUUUAUAACAAGGGUGAGAUAAUUUGUUCUUGUGUGCUAAGAUAAGGGUAAACAAAUUUCAUGCUGUGAUGUAAGCCCCUAUCUGCAGAAGUCAGGAAAGAUUCCCUGCCCUGCCGCCGAAUCGCGUGCUUGACAAAUUAUCCUCAGAGCCUUAUUUCUCUGGAGACUUCAUCUAGCGGUCAUGCCCGGGCCUGAGUAUGAAAGGUGGAAGGACCGGCCUGGGUGCAGAGGAGGGGGACUCUUGUGUUCCUGUGCAUCUGGAAGCCCAGAAGUGAAAGUGACCACAGCGCUUCGGUGGCAUAUUGAGUAGCUCCGUGGGAUCCCUGGGCAUGAUUGAGGAGACAUGCCUGGAAAUGUGAGUUUCUGUUUCACCUCGUGCUUGGCCUUGGGGCAGCAGUCACCUACGCCCUGGCUCUCCCUUUACACCGUCAACGGCAAGUAGGGGUCAUCGACUUUCCCAUCUCAUCCCUUGAAUCUGAAUCACCUAUGGGACUUGCUUCGGCCAAUGAGAAAUUAAUAAAUAUGAUGCAAAGAAGAGGCUUGAAAAAUGCCUGCAUGUAAGCUUCCUACAGUUGCCCACAGAUGCACGAGUGAGCCCAACAAAGCUCAUGAGAAGAACUGCCCAGCUGAGCCCAGCCCAAGUGGCUGCCUUGUAAAAUCAUGAGCUAAAUA